CUCCUCAGUGAUGUGGUGUUAGAGAGGGAGGUCCUCCUCAACGACGUGGUGAUACAAAGGGAGGUCCUCCUCAACGACGUGGUGAUACAAAGGGAGGUCCUACUCAGUGACGUUGUGUUAGAGAGGGAGGUCCUCCUCAGUGACAUGGUGUUAGAGAGGGAGGUCCUCCUCAGUGACGUGGUGUUAGAGAGGGAGGUCCUCCUCAACAACGUGGUGUUAGAGAGAGAGGUCCUCCUCAACGAUGUGGUGUUAGAGGAGGUCGUCCUCAGUGACGUGGUGAUACAGAGGGAGGUCCUCCUCAGUGAUGUGGUGUUAGAGGGAGGUCGUCCUCAGUGACGUGGUGAUACAGAGGGAGGUCCUCCUCAGUGAUGUGGUGUUAGAGGGAGGUCCUCCUCAACGACGUGGUGUUAGAGAGGGAGGUCCUCCUCAGUGAUGUGGUGUUAGAGGGAGGUCCUCCUCAACGACGUGGUGUUAGAGAGGGAGGUCCUCCUCAGUGAUGUGGUG